ACAAAGUUAAAACCCAUUUCAAUUCAUUUUUUUCCUUUAAAAAUUUAAGCUUUGACUUUUCUAAGCCUUCAACCACCCAAAAGUCGCCGGCGACUGGGGAAGCAAGGCCCUCUCGAUGGCGCAAACAUGAGGCGCGGUGUUGAAGUUGUGGAGAACGAGAGGCAUGAAACAUGGGCGAAAACAUAGAGCGGGACAUACGGGGAUGGAGCAAGUGGAGGUAUGGGCAAUGGGACAGGGCAAGUUGGCCGACAGUCAAGCAUAGGGAUGAUGGCUAGGUUUUUUUUUUUUUUAGUCUUCUUCUUUUUUCUUUUUUUUUUAAAUUGCUAUGGGCUAGUGUUAAAGGGUUUUGGGCUGUUGGGUUUUUUUUGGGGGGUUUGGUUUGAUUGGUUUUAUUAUUAUUAUUUGGUAGGUCCGGAUAAA